CCCAAAAAGCCCUAUCCUUUUUUUCAAUCAGAUCCAGAACGAACGAACCCCAAAGCCCCAAAAAUCAUUCCCCAAAAUCAAAGAGGAGUUCCAAAAUCGAACGACAUCGUCUACACAAAAUGGAAGCCCAAAAAUCGUUCGUUUUAUAGUCAAAAUCUUUCAAUUUCAAUCAGAUCCAGAACCUAUACUUUCAUUGAAUUACAGUUUGUUUUUUUUGAUUCGAGAUGGCAACUAUGAACAACAAUUUGAAUGUUCUCAAAAGAAUCGGUGGAGAAUCACGACGAGGUGUUGAUAGUUGUUUAGAAAUGCCACUACUAUCCCUGAAUGUCUUCAUACAUAGUGAUCGAAUUCAAGUUAAAGUCAACAAGUUCUCAUCUACCAAGACACAACUUCCUUAUGAUUACUAUUACUUGAACUAUUGUAAGCCCAAGCAUAUUCAAAACACUGCAGAAAAUUUGGGCGAGGUGCUACGAGGAUUUAGAUAAUUUACCGGUUGCUGUUCUUAGACAAUGACGUGAUGGUAGUCCUUCAACCACUUAUGAAGAUGGUUCCCGUGUUGGCUUCAAAGGAAACUAUGCUGGAGCAAAGAUGAAAAAUACUUCAUCAAUAAUCACUUAAGCUUUAGAGUUAUGUAUCAUAAGGAUCUGGAGACUGAUGCUGCUCGUAUUGUUGGGUUUGAAGUUACGUCUGAUGAUUUGGAUGAAAUUUAUGAAGAAUGGGCAAAUUAUGUGGCAAUUUCAUUUACCGGUCUUGAAUUGUAUAUAUUUAGCGGUUGUAAACUUUUAUGGUUAGUUUUAGAAUUUUAAAAUUACUUGUGGUUGUAUGAAACACAUUGUUUUGAUAUAUAUGAAAUGUGUUUAUUUGACUUA